rnacentral:rRNA from 1 species
UCUGUUCAACGGCCGCGGUAUCCUAACCGUGCGAAGGUAGCGUAAUCACUUGUUCUUUAAAUGAGGACUAGUAUGAAUGGCACCACGAAGGUUAUACUGUCUCCUUUUUCUAAUCAGUGAAACUAAUCUUCCCGUGAAGAAGCGGGAAUAAAAAUAUAAGACGAGAAGACCCUAUGGAGCUUUAAACAAACAUACAACUGCCUUCUUUUUAGAUAUUUCAGAAGAAAACCUUUAUUUAGGCAUUUUGAUAUAGAGUUUUAGGUUGGGGUGACCACGGAGUAAAAAACAACCUCCGCAAUGAAAGGGGCUCUUCCCCUAAGCUAAGGGCUACAACCCUAAGAAUCAAAAAAUUGACACCAAUUGACCCA